GACGAACGCUGGCGGCGUGCUUAACACAUGCAAGUCGAACGGAAAGGCCCUGCUGUUGUCGGGUGCCCGAGUGGCUAACGGGCGAGUAACACGUGAGUAACCUGCCCUUGACUUUGGGAUAACUUCAGGAAACUGGGGCUAAUACCGGAUAGGUGCUCCUGCUUCAUGGUGGGGGUUGGAAAGUUUCGGCGGCUGGGGAUGGACUCGCGGCUUAUCAGCUUGUUGGUGGGGUAGUGGCUUACCAAGGCGUGGACGGGUAGCCGGCCUGAGAGGGUGACCGGCCACAUUGGGCCUGGGAUACGGCCAGUACUCCUACUGGAGGAAGCAGUGGGGAAUAGUGCACGAUGGGCGGAAGCCGGAUGCAGCAACGCCGCGUGCGAGAUGACGGCCUUCGGGUUGUAAACCGCUUUCGCCUGUGACGAAGCGUGAGUGACGGUAAUGGGUAAAGAAGCACCGGCUAACUACGUG
rnacentral:rRNA from 1 species